rnacentral:rRNA from 1 species
GUGGGGAAUAUUGGACAAUGGGCGAAAGCCUGAUCCAGCAAUGCCGCGUGAGUGAUGAAGGCCCUAGGGUUGUAAAGCUCUUUUACCCGGGAUGAUAAUGACAGUACCGGGAGAAUAAGCUCCGGCUAACUCCGUGCCAGCAGCCGCGGUAAUACGGAGGGAGCUAGCGUUGUUCGGAAUUACUGGGCGUAAAGCGCGCGUAGGCGGUUUUCUAAGUCAGGGGGGAAAGCCCGGGGCUCAACCCCGGAAUAGCCCUUGAAACUGGAAGACUAGAAUCUUGGAGAGGGCAGUGGAAUUCCGAGUGUAGAGGUGAAAUUCGUAGAUAUUCGGAAGAACACCAGUGGCGAAGGCGACUGACUGGACAAGUAUUGACGCUGAGGUGCGAAAGCGUGGGGAGCAAACAGGAUUAGAAACCCCGGUAGUCC